GAGGACUCCAAGCACUGCAUCAGACACCACAACCACCGAACCGGAGAAGCAUAUGAAUGCUCUCAAGCAUUGAAUGCUGUAAGCAACUGAACAGGAAAAGCAUACAAUCAGCUUACACUCCUGGCAAUCAGCAUACAAUCCAAUUCCCCCAAUAACGAGACAACACUUUGUUUUGAGGCCAAGCAGAACUGACUGUACUGGCACAUACAGCCUCUUUUAUUCACAAUCC